rnacentral:misc_RNA from 1 species
UAAGGGGCCAAUCCUGGGGCAAAGC